rnacentral:lncRNA from 1 species
UUCAAUUCUCAUUUUAGAAAUAGAAAAUUGAGGAUGUUUGGCUUUGGUAUUUACUCUCUGCUUUAUAUAUUGAAUCUCCAUUAUUCUAUUUUGAGAUGUUUAAGAAUCCAUUUAUCUUUUUUUUCAUAUAUUAUUUAAGUAACAUUCAACCAAAUAAAAAAUUAAAUGUAAUAAUUACUAUGUUAAAAUUAAAAAUUCAGUAAAAAGUAAAUGUUAUGAUUGUGUUUCCUUAAAAAUUAAAUUGAAUUCUCCGAAAAAGACCUUCAAUAUAGGACUAAGUGAAUAUAUAUUAAAACUUGAAUGCUUCGUUACGUUUAUGCUAUGGAAUGUUUAUAUUAUCACCCUCUCGAUAACCAUAGUAAUAUUCUUAUCUCACAUUAUUCUAACGAUGAACACAAAAUAAUAGAGACAAGUUUAGAGACGAUGUAUAGAAUUAAAAGGGUGAGAAAAUUUGCAAUAUUUAGUUAAUUUUUUUAAAUUCAAUUUUACAAAGUUAUUUUUCAAAAUUUAUUUGAUUGACUAUUGAAAACACGCUCUCUAUAAUUUUUUUCAAGAAAAAACUCAAUUUUUAGCAUAAAUUAAAAUAUACCAUAUUUAAACUGUCAAAAACCAUUCCCACUGGAGGAUAAAUAAUAUAUGUUAUCUAACACGUUUUCUCUGUAAUGUUGUCAACAAUAAUAUACGAAAAGACAAAGUAUAUUUAAGAGCCCCCACUAUGCUUGUGUUUCUCUCUCGUCGCAAUAAUUACUUAUUAAAGUACGAGAAAAGACAAAGUACACGUGAGAUAGGAAAACGACUACUCUAACAAUUUAGGUCUCAUUUGGCUGGAGGAUUUGGAGGGGUAUAAUUUUUUUCCCGGAUAACUUUUUUCUCGGAAUGUUUGGCUAGCGGAUAUGCCCCCGGAUAAGUUAUGCCCCCGAAGGUAGAUAAUUUUUGGGUUGCCUAGACCCCUAACUAAAAAUUAUCCGGGGGAUAAGGGAUACCGCCCCCCUCUCUCCCCCGCCCCCCCCUGUCUCCUUUCUCGUCUCCUCUAUCUACAUCUCUCAGCCCUGCCCACUCUUUUUCCUCUAUCCCUCUUUUCUCUUUUCUUUUCUCUCAUUCCUUUUCUUCCUUCCUCCUAACCUACCUUAUCCACUCAUUCUAAAAAAGUAUCCAAAACAAAAGUUAAAAGUUAUCCCAUCCAAAGUUAUCACCUCUAAAAAGUUUCCUCCCCUAAAAAUUAUGCUGCCUCCCUUAUCCUCAGCCAAACGGGCCCUUGGGGUAAGGUAAAUGUUACGUAGUACGUACCCCCACCAAUUGAAAUAACACCGACACCCAUAGUUAUGAAAACGGACGAACCGGCAGGUUCAACCGGUUCAAUCGAAACUGGGCACUAAAUCGGUUCGGACACAACAUUUUAUCGCAUCGGAAAAAUGCAAGCCAACCGGAUUGAACCGGUUUGAAUCGGCCGAUUUUUUUUUUUUAACAGAAAAAAUAAAGUUUUAAUUUUUACAGUUUGACCCAAAAAUUUUAAUUAAAGUUUUACUUUUUACAAUGACCCCAAAAUUUGAAUUAAAUUAUUUUUUUAAUCGUUUUCUAAAUUAAUUUUUACUAUGAAUGGGUAAUAAAAAAAUUUUUUUUUUUUUUAUAAUAAAAAUAUAAUUUUAUUAUAUUAAUUAUAAAUCCGGUUGAACCGUGGUUGUUUGAACCCAAGGGAACCGUGUGAACCAGUAUUUUGACCGGUUCAAUGUCCGGUUCGGUUCUGAUAACUAUGCCGCGACACCCCUUAAUAUCUGAAAAGGGUAAUGCUAUGAGUACAUUCAAUUUACACCCUAAAUGCAUAUUUGAUGAGGUGGAGUAUUUAAAUUGGUUGGGUGUGGGGUCCACACAGUCCUUUCACCCCACACAUAGCCAAUCUAAAUACUUCAUCUCAUCAGGGGUGCAAGUUGGAUGUACCAUAGCAUUUCUCAUAUCUGAAAACGGUAAAUUUUGACUGACCUCGCAUGAUAUUUUUGAAUCAAAAUCCAACACGUGUACAUUAGUCCAAUUCCUAUUUAAUGGGCUAUUGGGGCCAUAGCCCCUGCAUGUUUCCUCUCGCUGCAUCCACAUGGAGACUGAUCUAAUGUCCCUUUCUUAUCUGUCCUUUCUUUCUUUUUUCAUUAAUUCAAAAGAGGUGAUCAGAUGUGGCGCACCCAUUGUAAUACCAUGGGAGCGUCCCUGAGGGCUCACUACAAUCACAUAAUUUUUUUCAAAUUAUGUCUUAUUUAUUUUUGAAAUCACUCAGCCACAAAAUAUGUGGCUGUGGUGAGGCCACGGAGGGCGCUCCCAUGAUAUUAUCACGGACACGCACCUAUCUGAUCACCACUCUUAAUUUAAUGCGAUGCUCGGAAAAGGUACAAUGGAGUCUUACACGAAUCUCGUAAGUGUUUGCAAUAGUUUAUCUCCUUUAAUUCAUAAACCAUAUAUAAUACUUUAUAUACCGAAGGCAUUAUGAAAUCUAAAAUAUUCCUAAAAUUAUAAUUUAGGUUCGAGUCAAAAAAUUCACAACUACGACCUACAAGCUGAUGAGAUACCAACAUACAUACACCACAAUCAUAUGGUCCUCACUGAUCUCUCUUCUCGACGCCUACACAUGCAUUAUAUGCGCAUAAAAUAUUUGAAGUGUUAAACUAAUCCCAUAUCAAAUAGUUUUGGGAAUACUCCACCUCAUGCUAAUGAUCUUUACUUUACAAUAACAAUUUGUACUACUACAAACAAUUCGCCUUGCUAGAUGCAUUAAAUUGAACUUUCAAGUUCCAAAUUUCUAUUUUGGGAAUUAAAAAGCUUUUUUAAUUGUGCUAUCUGAAAUGACCUUUGGUUUUAACACAUGUAAUAAUUAAAAAAUAUCUUAGCUUUAUCGCCAAAUAUGUGUGUUGAUGAUAUUAUCUAGGGGUGUCUGAAAAUUUAAAAAAAAAACGAUAAAUCAGAUCAAACCAAAUUGGAUCGAACCGUAUGGCUGGUGUGGUCCGGUUCUACGAUUUAGAUUGUUUCAAUACUAAUUUUAAAAAAUAUUAAAUUGGUCUAUAUAGUUCAGUCUUAGUUCUUUAUUUCAGAAUUGUGGUUCAAAAUAAACUGGGCCUGUUUUGUUAAGAACAGAGUUCUGUAACUGGAAUUGAUAUUGCUGAUAGCUGGAAGAAGAAAGAAGAAAAUAGAUUUCCCUAUUCGAGCUAGGGAUAAAGCUCUUAAAAGAACCAAGUAAAGACGGAAUUUUUCAUUCCCUUCUGAAUCAAUGUUACAUUCUUUAUAUUGCUGGACGUUUGACAAGAAUUCAAGGAAUGAUAUCUAACAGUUUUAAACACUAACUGAAUUAACCCAUUCUUGAUAUUGCCCAUGCUUCAGUUAUCUGUUAGCAUAGUUAUUUUGCCAUGCUUUACAUCAUGUUCCUGUCUUUUAAGUCUUAAUCUUUCAUUCAUUCUGGCCUUUUGAUACUCCUUCUUGUUCUAUCAUCCGCUACAAAGCUGUUCUCUCCUACUACCACUGCAUUCGUAACAUGUUUACGUACAUACAUAGCGUGUAUGUGUAAGUUAAACCCAUCCUAACCUUCCUAAUUUAUUUUAUAUUGAGGUAUCAUUACUUAUUGUUUGAUGUUGUAUGAAUUUUUUGGGUUUUCGAUUUUUGCGGUUGUUAUGCUUAGUUUUUUCUAAAGUGGAAUGUUGUCAUGUUAUUUUAAAAUGUAGAUAGUUUAGAAUUUAAAUGUCAGGUAUAAAAUUUAGGAUGUUUGCCUGUGGCAUUUAUUCCAUUCGUCUCAUAGAACUUUUGUUAUUUUAGUUUGGAAUGUCCGAAAAUGUAUAUUCAAUUCGACAGUUAAUAACGAAAAUAUACAACUUUUCUCUUUUAGCCUUUUUUUUAUAAAUUAUUUAAGUAAUAUCAACCAAAACAAAAAAUUAAAUGUAAUAAUUACAGGGAUAAAAUUGGAGAGUCAAUAAAAAUUAAAUGUAAUAAUUAUAUUCCCUUAAAAAGGUUAACUCCCCGAAAUCACACUUCCGUUUGAGGUGGACGGAGUAGAUGUUAAAACUUGAAUGUUAUGUUUUGUUUAUACUGUGUUUAUGUUAUCGGUCUUAACAAUGAGGAUGAUAUUUUUGUCACACAUUAAUCUAAUAAUUAAUUCAAAAAAAAUAGAGAAAAGUUUGGGGACCUCGCAUAGAAUUAAAAGUGCGAGAAAAAAAUUGCAAUGUUUAGAGUAAAUUUCAAAAUAGUCCCUAUAAUUUUUUUUAACAUUGAUUUUGGUUCUUAUAUUUUUAAAUCCCAUGAUUUUAACCUUGUAUUUUAAUUUACAUGCCUAAUCAAUUUAAUUGAUAACCAAAGUUAAGUUGUUGGACAUAUUUUCAAUACAUUUUGAACAUAUGACUUCAUUUGAUGGCAAUUUAUAGUUGGAUUUAUCAAAUUAUAAUAGAAUUUAAGCAAUUUACAGUGAGAAUAGGAAAAAAGUUGAUUUUAUCACUCAAAUGAUGGUACAUGUCGGCCAAUAGUGAAAAUUCAUCCAAAAACAUAACAUUCAUGACCAAUUGGCUUAAUUAGGUGAGAAAAUCAAAAUAUAAAAUUAAAACCGCGGAAUUUUAAAAUACAUGGAUCAAAAUCUUGAAUGAAUAAAACUACAAUGACCGUUUUUGAAAUUUAAUCAUAUUUUAAGAUUCAAUUUGACGAAAUGUUUUUUUCAAAAUUUAUUUGGUUGAUGAUUGAGAACAUGCUCUCUAUGAAUUUCUCGAGAAAAACUCAUUUAUUAGCAAAAAUUAAAAUAGUAUUUAGUGACGGCAUAUAGAAUUAAGAGGGUGAGAGAAAAAAUGGCAAUGUUUAAUAAAUAUUUAUAAAAUUAUUUUAAUAUUUUUAAAAUUACUUUUGCAAAAUAAUUUUUAAAAAUUUAUUUGGUCGACGGUUUAAAACGUACUCUCUUUGAAUUUGUCGGGGGAAAAAAAUCUCAUUUUUGGAUAAAAUUAGAAGGGUAUAUUUAAGUUCUCAAAAACUAUUUCUGCUAAAAGAUAAAU